UUGUGUGGCCAUACCACCCUGAACACGCCUGAUCUUGGAAACUAAGCAGGGUCGGGCCUGGUUAGCACUUGGAUGGGAGAUUGCCUGGGAAUAACAGGCGCUGUAAGUU
rnacentral:rRNA from 1 species